GGGAUGGAAAUGGCUUUUCCGUUUUAUUCACUGCCUCGUCUAUGGAGAAGCCAAGCAGGGAAGGCAGGGCAGCCCAGAGAGCGGAGGCAGCCUGCGGGUCUCCCGCCGCGGCUGUCCCCUCCUCCACCCACCGCCUGGCCGGGACUGCGGCCCCAUUCUAUCGUUUACACAAAAUCAUUAUAUAAUGAGCUGGCGAGGCUCCGUAUGUUCUACAGUAACCUGUUUGGAAUCAUAGGAUGCAGUUGUCACAGCGGAGCAUGCGCAGAAACCUGGCUACGUUUUUUUUUUUUUUUUUCUCUUGAGCUCAAGGCAAGAGGUAACUGUCGGUCAAACGCUGCUGAGCCCUGCUGACUUCAAACACAGGAUGCUAAAAAUGAAAUAGAGGGGAGGGGCGGGGUGAGCCCCGCAGCCUGCCAUGCACUGUGGGCUUGCAGCCUCGGGGAAGUAACUAUCCGGGUAGUAACUACACAGAUACACGGCGUGGAAUACGGAAGACUUUCCAUUUGUUCUUUAGCUGCCUCUGUGAUGUUGGAGUGCUGGGCGUAGGCAUGAAGGGCCCUAGGAUAAGUACCCAGAUGCACCCUUUCGAUUCCUCUGGUGAGCCAGCCCUGCUCCAGAGAGGACCCCUUCUUCCACAAACACACACAGCCUGCUGAGAGCAUGGAACCAAGAGUGGCUGGGAAAGAUCUGGGAAACCAUUGCUUCAAG